AUAGACCUAAGAAGACAUGAC
rnacentral:miRNA from 1 species